AGCAAAAAAUAAAACUAUUAAAAAAAUCUUAAUAAAAACAAGUUUCUUUUUAUUCUAAAAUUACUGUUUUUUACUGGGACUGGGGAUUUUCUUUUUUUUUUUCAAUAGUGAAUGUGUGUUGUGGAGUUCAAAACCAACCACUGGCAAGCGAAGAAAACGUUCUUAAAACAUUCAUUGUUCCCAAAUUGGAGAGACAACUACAAUAACAAGAAAAUAAUACAAAAAUAAACAAGAUCAGCUGGAAUCAAAAGCAACCCAAAGCAACAAUUAUAACAACAACAUUAAUGUUUUUUUUAUAAUUCUCAAAGCAGACUUUAAAUUCCGAAGGGGGAGUCAGUUCAGUCAAUCAAACAAAUUUCAAAAUUUCAUGAAAGGGAGUAUUAAAAUUUUAAAAUAAAGAGCAUAAGAAAAACAAGAGAAUUUGUUAUUUUGUUAUAAAAAUCAUUUGUAGAAAGGAAACAAAGAGUUUUUAUAUUGAAACUUCUACAUUACCACACAUUCACACAAUUAAUUCACAUACACAGGCGCACACAUUAUGGGAGUAUCUGUGUGUGACUGCAACUUUUAAUCUAAAAUGAGUAAAAAUGUAGCCAACAAAUACUUAAUAUGUAAUAAAAAAUAUGAACAAAAAUAUAUAUAAAAUCUAUUUUACUAACCAACCCGUAUAAUCGCAUUAAUAUUUGUUGUAUAGUACCCCACAUUGAUAUUAGGUGGUUGAGGAAAUUUGUAGCCAGAUUAUUAAAAAUUAAUAAGGCCGGUAGAAAAGUUUGUUCAGAAAUAACUUAAGAAAAAUUUGUAAAGCAUUUGAACUAGUAGUUUUUAUAAGUUUUUAACUUUAUACUUCAAAGUAAGAGUAAGUAAGGUAGGUUAGUAGUUAGCGUUCGAGGUUAACAGUGCGGAGGUCUGGGGUUCGAUUCCCACAAAAGGAACUGUAUGUAUAUUCAACUAAACCAUCCACAUCCAUCCCAGCUAUAAGUUAAACUUGCUGCAUUCAUGUAAUGGUUGGUUAAGGCGAUAAGAUACACUCUAUAAUUUUUCCACAACAAUAAGAAAAACAACAAAAUAAGAGGGAGAACAACAAUAUAACAACGACAAUAUGAUUAAUACGACAAACAAAAAGUCACAUAGUCAAACUGUUGCUUAAACUAUUAAUAAGCAGCAACAAAACAAACAACCUGCAAAACUUUACUCUCUCUCUCUCUCUCUCACGCUCUGUCACUCUUUCCACUACAAUUUCAUGCACGUACGUGAGUUUUCUGCUAGUGCGUGAUAUUUUAUUUAUAAAACUGAUGUGAGAAACUAAGAGAAAACACACAUAUUAAGAGAAAACAAUAGAGCAUAGAAAGAGAGUGAUAUUUUGUAGAAAACUAGAGAUACAACUAAGAUAAAACCGCUAAUGUAAAAUGAUUUUAUGAACAAUCAUUUAGUUUUAAAUUUAAUACGAUGGUGAUCGCAUCGGUUGAGUGAUCGAUUGGAAAUUGUGAAAUUAAAACGAAGAAAAAAAAACGAAUUAUUAAAAAAACACAAAAUUUCAAAAUAAAAAGAAUUAUGAGUAAUAAAUUUGUAUAAGUGCCUUGUAUGGGAAAUAGAAAAGUGGAAAAUUUAAUUAAAAUGAAAUAGUAAAAGCAAUAUGAGUUAAAAAUUGUAUUAAAUUAAUCAAUUAAUUGUUUGAAAUAUAAAGAAAGAAAACAAAAGAAAAAAUAUUUAUAAUAUUUAGAAAUGUUUAAACAAAUUUUUGUAUUCACAAGUUUGGGUGAAAGCUUAAAUUGUUUUGAAAUUUAAAACAAGUUAAAAAAAUUAAAACAAAAUUGUGUGUCUUUAUGUCUGAAUGGCUAAAACGCUAAUUACCUAAAAAAAUAUUACAAAAU